CCUAAUACAUGCAAGUCGAACGAACUCUGGUAUUGAUUGGUGCUUGCAUCAUGAUUUACAUUUGAGUGAGUGGCGAACUGGUGAGUAACACGUGGGAAACCUGCCCAGAAGCGGGGGAUAACACCUGGAAACAGAUGCUAAUACCGCAUAACAACUUGGACCGCAUGGUCCGAGCUUGAAAGAUGGCUUCGGCUAUCACUUUUGGAUGGUCCCGCGGCGUAUUAGCUAGAUGGUGGGGUAACGGCUCACCAUGGCAAUGAUACGUAGCCGACCUGAGAGGUAAUCGGCCACAUUGGGACUGAGACACGGCCCAAACUCCUACGGGAGGCAGCAGUAGGGAAUCUUCCACAAUGGACGAAAGUCUGAUGGAGCAACGCCGCGUGAGUGAAGAAGGGUUUCGGCUCGUAAAACUCUGUUGUUAAAGAAGAACAUAUCUGAGAGUAACUGUUCAGGUAUUGACGGUAUUUAACCAGAAAGCCACGGCUAACUACGUGCCAGCAGCCGCGGUAAUACGUAGGUGGCAAGCGUUGUCCGGAUUUAUUGGGCGUAAAGCGAGCGCAGGCGGUUUUUUAAGUCUGAUGUGAAAGCCUUCGGCUCAACCGAAGAAGUGCAUCGGAAACUGGGAAACUUGAGUGCAGAAGAGGACAGUGGAACUCCAUGUGUAGCGGUGAAAUGCGUAGAUAUAUGGAAGAACACCAGUGGCGAAGGCGGCUGUCUGGUCUGUAACUGACGCUGAGGCUCGAAAGUAUGGGUAGCAAACAGGAUUAGAUACCCUGGUAGUCCAUACCGUAAACGAUGAAUGCUAAGUGUUGGAGGGUUUCCGCCCUUCAGUGCUGCAGCUAACGCAUUAAGCAUUCCGCCUGGGGAGUACGGCCGCAAGGCUGAAACUCAAAGGAAUUGACGGGGGCCCGCACAAGCGGUGGAGCAUGUGGUUUAAUUCGAAGCUACGCGAAGAACCUUACCAGGUCUUGACAUACUAUGCAAAUCUAAGAGAUUAGACGUUCCCUUCGGGGACAUGGAUACAGGUGGUGCAUGGUUGUCGUCAGCUCGUGUCGUGAGAUGUUGGGUUAAGUCCCGCAACGAGCGCAACCCUUAUUAUCAGUUGCCAGCAUUAAGUUGGGCACUCUGGUGAGACUGCCGGUGACAAACCGGAGGAAGGUGGGGAUGACGUCAAAUCAUCAUGCCCCUUAUGACCUGGGCUACACACGUGCUACAAUGGAUGGUACAACGAGUUGCGAACUCGCGAGAGUAAGCUAAUCUCUUAAAGCCAUUCUCAGUUCGGAUUGUAGGCUGCAACUCGCCUACAUGAAGUCGGAAUCGCUAGUAAUCGCGGAUCAGCAUGCCGCGGUGAAUACGUUCCCGGGCCUUGUACACACCGCCCGUCACACCAUGAGAGUUUGUAACACCCAAAGUCGGUGGGGUAACCUUUUAGGAACCAGCCGCCUAAGGUGGGACAGAUGAUUAGGGUGAAGUCGUAACAAGGUAGCCGUAGGAGAACCUGCGGCUGGAUCACCUCCUUU
rnacentral:rRNA from 1 species